UACGUAGGGUGCAAGCGUUAAUCGGAAUUACUGGGCGUAAAGCGUGCGCAGGCGGUUGUGCAAGACAGAUGUGAAAUCCCCGGGCUCAACCUGGGAACUGCAUUUGUGACUGCACGGCUGGAGUGCGGCAGAGGGGGAUGGAAUUCCGCGUGUAGCAGUGAAAUGCGUAGAUAUGCGGAGGAACACCGAUGGCGAAGGCAAUCCCCUGGGCCUGCACUGACGCUCAUGCACGAAAGCGCGGGGAGCAAACAGG
rnacentral:rRNA from 1 species